AAGUCGCGGUAUAGUCGAACGGCAUUGAAAGGCCGGGCACAGAGGGUGGAACCCCCGUAGACGAAAUGCCGUGGCCUCCCGAAGGGGAUCCCAAGUAGCUCCGGGCCCGAGAAACCUGGAGUGAAUCAGCACAGACCACUGUGUAAGCCUAAAUACUACCUAGUGACCGAUAGCGGACAAGUACCGCGAGG
rnacentral:rRNA from 1 species